GGCUUACCAAGGCGACGAUCAGUAGCCGACCUGAGAGGUUGAACGGCCACAUUGGGACUGAGAUACGGCCCAGACUCCUACGGGAGGCAGCAGUCGGGAAUAUUGCGCAAUGGAGGAAACUCUGACGCAGUGACGCCGCGUGCAGGAAGAAGGUUUUCGGAUUGUAAACUGCUUUAGACAGGGAAGAAGAAGUGACAGUACCUGUAGAAUAAGCUCCGGCUAACUAC
rnacentral:rRNA from 1 species